GGAAGGAUCAUUAAUAAAUGCUUCAUUGCAUCCACCUCUUGUGCACUGUAAAUUUUCACUUAAACUUUGUCUGAUUAAUAUUUGUUCUGAAAGGAACAUGAAUUGUAAUCUAAUACAACUUUUAACAAUGGAUCUCUUGGCUCUCGCAUCGAUGAAGAACGCAGCGAAAUGCGAUAAGUAAUGUGAAUUGCAGAAUUCAGUGAAUCAUCGAAUCUUUGAACGCAUAUUGCGCUCUCCGGCAUUCCGGAGAGCAUGCCUGUUUGAGUCUUGGUACCAAUCCGGUGUAACCUUUGUAAGUGUCUGCACCCAGUGCAAAACUUCAUACGUGACGAAUUUUUUUGAAGAAUCUCUGAUUUUUUAAAAAGAAAACCCUAUUGAGACGUCUCGAUGCAAUUCUGCAUCGAGUGUUUUAAAAUAUAAUAGUACAGAUAGUCCACCUUCUUUGGAGUAAUAUGUGACCUGAAAGGGUAACUCUAUAUUCUCCUCAGAUGGGUAAGAUGAUGCUGGAAGUUGUUGAAUGGUGAACAUCAAAGGCAGCAUUCAAUUGUUCGAGUAACGACGAACAUGAAACUCAAUCUCAAAUCAGGUAGGAUUACCCGCUGAACUUAAGCAUAUUAAUAAGCGGAGGAAAAGAAACUAACAAGGAUUCCCCUAGUAACGGCGAGUGAAGCGGGAAGAGCUCAAAGUUGGAAUCUGGGCAGGUUUCCUGCUCCGAAUUGUAAUCUAUAGACGUGUUUUCGGUGGUUGUGUUGGUAUAAAUCCUUUGGAACAGGGUAUCAUAGAGGGUGAAAAUCCCGUCUUUGACUGACAUACAACUGCCAUGUGAUACAUGUUCGAAGAGUCGCAUUGUUUGGGAAUGCAGUGCAAAUUGGGUGGUAAAUUUCAUCCAAAGCUAAAUAAUGGCGAGAGACCGAUAGCGAACAAGUACCGUGAGGGAAAGAUGAAAAGAACUUUGAAAAGAGAGUUAAAUAGUACGUGAAAUUGUUAAAAGGGAAACGCAUGAAAUCAGUAAUCUUUACAGCAAAUCAAUUGUCAUUGUAGCCAGUGUGCUUUGAGAAUAUUUAUUCUCUGGGUGCCCUGGGGGCAACUGACGGUGCACUUUGCUGUAAAGGAGUCAACAUCAGUUUGGACUGAUGGAUACAUCUCUGUUGGAAGGUAGCCACAAAGUUGGUGUUUAGCCACGGUAGAAAAACCCACAUCGGUCUGGACUGAGGUCUGCAGCACACUUUUUGCGGAACACGCUGGGGCUGUCAAAGGCUUGUGGGCCCUCAACUUGUUGAGUGUCUAUUAAGAAUUUGGCAUCCCCUGGUCUCUGUUACUUUUGUGCUUGGGAUGUUGACAAAAUGGUUUUAUACGACCCGUCUUGAAACACGGACCAAGGAGUCUAACAUAUAUGCGAGUAUUUGGGUGUCAAACCCACAUGCGUAAUGAAAGUGACUAAUGAUGGGACCUGCAAAGGGCACCAUUGACCGAUCUUGAUACUUUGGAUAGAUUUGAGUAAGAGCAUAUCUGUUGGGACCCGAAAGAUGGUGAACUAUACUUGAAUAGGGUGAAGCCAGAGGAAACUCUGGUGGAGGCUCGUAGCGAUUCUGACGUGCAAAUCGAUCGUCAAAUUUGAGUAUAGGGGCGAAAGACUAAUCGAACCAUCUAGUAGCUGGUUCCUGC
rnacentral:misc_RNA from 1 species